UUUGGUUGGUUACACACUGACUUUUGCAUGACACUUUGGGUUACUUUACAUUUAACUGAUUUACACCACACUUCUUUAUCUUUAUUCUAUUUAAUUAUAUGUAAAAUUAUCUUCUUACUAUAAUAAAUUAUUUUAUUAUUGUAAAACGGCGUGGUCUCCCCCAUUUCAUGUUGCAUGCUAGAGCCAGCAUGUGACAUAUGGGGGCUCGUCCGGGAUCCAUUUUCCAAAAUUUGGUAAGGUGACUUAAUUGUAAGAGUGCUUUGUUUUGACUUGGCUGUAUAGUUGAAUUGGCUUUUGGAUUGUACUGACGGGAAUAAAUUGCCUGUGCAGUCAAAUUAUCAGAAAAUGGGGAGACACACGUUAAGUUUGUAGUUGGUAAAUGAUAAUUUAGUGUUUUGGUGUUCAUUGAGAUUUCGUUGUUAAUUUGGUUUUGAUAGUGGUUUGCUUUGGUUGGUUUGCCGAGGAGGAGUAGUGCCAUUUGGGAGGCUACCUGCGGUUUCUGACGUUUGCGUUGCAGGUAGGCGAAUUGGGUGCAGGUGUAGUGGUAACUUUGGGGGGGGGGUGGUAGGUUAGAUUCUACCGGAGCACACGUGAACCCUCGCUAGGAAUAGAGCGCUUACCGCUGUUUGUUGUUUUUUUAGGGUUAUUUUUGUGAUGGUUAUUUUUGGUGUCGAACGCGCUGGGGUUGCUUGCAACUCAAUUGCAUUAGGGCACACUGAAGACCAGCUAGGAAAGAGCUAGGGCCGUGGUCUGAAGUUGGAUGCGGGGCUGCUCUAGUCUGGGGGGGAAAGGGGUUGGUACACCUGUAUUCAGUUGCCGGCUGCGCUAUACACUGUCGCGUAAUAGCCGUCAGCUUAUUGGUCUCCCAACAUUGGAAAAGAAUUGUCACAAUAUCCAUCCGAGCGCUUGUUAGUCAACAUUCCUAGUAUAAAAUGGAUUUGGAUACAUUUUAUGCGUCUCCAUCUGAGUCACUGUUUGAUAAGUUCACAAAGGAACAGUUAAGGAAAGUGUCUGAACAUUAUCAAUUGACUGAUCUGCCGAGAGAUCUUAAAAAAGAGGUCCUAAAAAAUCGGGUUUGAUCUGUGUUAGUAGAGAGGUCCAUUAUGGAGGUGAUUCCAAGUGGGACAAAUCCAAAUGGCUCAGAUGAAGUGUUCAUUUCUGAUAAAAAUGCGGUUAGUUUUGAGCAACAGAUGCAGCUUUUAAAAUUACAGAUGGAGCAAAAGCGGUUUGAGGCAGCAGAACGUGAACAUCAACGUGAGAAAGAUCGCGAAAUGGAACUAAAACGUCUCCAAAGUGUUUUAGAGCAGAAGCGUUUAGAUAUAGAGCUAGAAAUGGAAAAAAUGAAACGACAUGAAAGACAGGGAAAGUGAGCUGCAGAGAGAAAAGUUAAGAUUGGUGGGAGAGGGAAAGAUGCGGUAUACUGUUAAUGAGGAUUCUGGUUCUGGCAUAGGGGGAAACAUCUCAAGUAUGAUAAAGUUUUUACCCAAAUUUAAUGACCGAGACCCUGACAUUUUUUUCUCUCUAUUUGAGGGCAUUGCGGAAGAGCGAAAUUGGAGUGAUUUGGAGCGCACCUUGCUUCUCCAAACAGUUCUUUCGGGGCGCGCUCAGGACGCAUACGUUGCGUUAUCAGUGACCGAGCGAAAAUCAUACGAGUCUGUUAAAAACACUGUGUUGAGGGUUUAUGAACAAGUGCCGGAGUUUUACAGGCAGCGAUUUAGAAACUGGAGGAAAGCUGACAGACAAACAUACUCUGAGGUUGCCAGAGAUCUGGUUAGUUAUUUUGUUCGCUGGUGCUCCGCUGUUAAUGCAAAAACAUUUGAACAAUUAGGUGAGUUGGUUGGUAUGGUGAUGAGUGGGUUGGUAUGGUGAUGAGUGGGUUGGUAUGGUGAUGAGUGGGUUGGUAUGGUGAUGAGUGGGUUGGUAUGGUGAAGAGUGGGUUGGUAUGGUGAAGAGUGGGUUGGUAUGGUGAAGAGUGGGUUGGUAUGGUGAAGAGUGGGUUGGUAUGGUGAAGAGUGGGUUGGUAUGGUGAAGAGUGGGUUGGUAUGGUGAAGAGUGGGUUGGUAUGGUGAAGAGUUGGUCGGAAGGGACAAGGAGAGGUACGGCCAGUGCGGGCCAAGGUAAUGGCAAUAGACAAUUUUCCACCGCCUGUAACAAAAAAGGAGUUGAUGCGCUUUUUAGGCAUGGUGGGAUAUUAUCUGAGUUUCUGUUUUAAUUUUUCGACAGUGGUUGCACCCCUCACAAAUUUGUUAAAAGGGAAAGCUCAGUUUGUCUGGACUGAUGAGUGCCAAGGGGCUUUUGAUAAUGUAAAAUUGUUGCUUAGCACUGCACCGUUCCUGGCGGCUCCCCAGCUUGACCGUCCGUUUAAAAUCCAGGUGGAUGCCAGCCAGGUCGGGGCUGGCGCAGUGCUUUUACAAACAGAUGAUCAGGAAGUCGAUCGUCCAGUGUCUUAUUUUUCAAAAAAAUUCAAUCAACAUCAGUUGAAUUACUCAACGAUUGAAAAAGAGGCGCUGGCCCUUGUGUGGGCUCUGCAGCACUUCAAUGUGUAUGUAGGUGGAGGGGUGGUUCCUGUGGUUGUCUUUUCGGAUCACAAUCCAUUGACUUUUCUGCACCAAUUACAGAAUCCAAAUCAGCGCCUGAUGCGUUGGGCGUUGUUUUUACAACCCUACAAUCUACAAAUUCGCCACAUUAAAGGCGUGGACAAUGUAAUGGCAGAUGCGUUGUCUCGCGCCCCGGAUGGGUGCGAUAAGUGAUUAUGUGCAUACCUUCACUAAUUUCUCUCCUCUCUUGUCUCUAUGCCCCUGUCCCUCUUAGAUUACUUUUCCAGGGCCCUGGUGCGGUGGGUCAGGAGGUUGGGUGACUGAUUGUGCGUGAGGAGUGGUGAGAGUGUGUGUAUGGGGGGGGUUUCUAGUUGAUCCGGUAGGAGUGUUGAUGUAACUGGUGUUGGUUGAGGGGAUGGGUGGUGCUUAUGUGUUUGGGUUUUGUUUUUUUUGAAUACCAUAAGUGCAGAAUCCCACUUAGGUGGGCUUCUGUCUUAAGGGGGGGGAUGUGACGACCCUGGUGAGUCUUUGACUCCACCCUUGCUUUGACUCCACCCUGGCUGUUUGGUUUGCCUGUUCUCUCUCUCUCUCUUAAAGGUUGGGUAGGUGAUUUGCGAAACGCCAGCAGAUUUUGAAAAUACACAACUCAAAUGGUCC
ensembl:lncRNA